rnacentral:tRNA from 1 species
GCCGCUGUAGCUCAGUUUGGUAGAGCGCCGGGCCGAAAACCCGGGCGUCGCAGGUUCGAUCCCUGCCGGCGGCACCA